rnacentral:rRNA from 1 species
AGAGUUUGAUCCUGGCUCAGAUUGAACGCUGGCGGCAUGCGUAACACAUGCAAGUCGAACGGUGUUGGUGCUUGCACCAGACAUAGUGGCGGACGGGUGAGUAAUGCGUAGGAAUCUGUCUUAGAGAGGGGGACAACCCGAGGAAACUUGGGCUAAAACCGCAUAUUCUCGAGAGAGGAAAGCAGGGGACCGGAAACGGCCUUGUGCUCUAAGGUGAGCCUACGUCGGAUUAGCUAGUUGGUAGGGUAAAAGCCUACCAAGGCGAUGAUCUGUAGCUGGUCUGAGAGGACGGACAGCCACACUGGGACUGAGACACGGCCCAGACUCCUACGGGAGGCAGCAGUGGGGAAUAUUGGACAAUGGGGGGAACCCUGAUCCAGCGAUGCCGCGUGUGUGAAGAAGGCCUGCGGGUUGUAAAGCACUUUCAGUGGGAAAGAGAAGCGUCUUGUGAAUAAUGGGACGUGGAGACGUUACUCACAGAAGAAGCACCGGCUAACUCUGUG